UUAGUAGGUUUCACAUGUUUUUACGUGUCAGGAAGAUCGUCUCGUACACAGUUUUAAUUUGAGAUUAAUUUAAACCAUAUUCAGUCUGUAUAUUAUCAUCCCUAAAUUGUUUUGACAUGAUGUGCAUCUGUGUUGUUAAUGGUAACGGUUGCAUGUACAAAUAGAACGACAGGGGCCAAAGUUACGUUUACAGGAAUUUUAAAUCAACAUAGCAAAUCGUUACCAGGAAAUCAAAUAACCAGGUCACACCAACAGUUCAGGGGGAAAAUCAAACAACUAUGGCGGACUUGCGAACAGUUCUAAUGAAAGGGGAAUCACUCUAACACAAAACUCGAUCGGAAAACAGUGACGGUGAAAAUGAUUUUACUUCCAUUGUUUUCAUACACCUCCAUAAUGCAAGUAACUUACAUUUACGCAUUAUUCAUAUUUAUUUUUGUGACGAAACUCAUGUUAUGUUUAAAGUCAUUACAGUGCUGUAUCGAGCAGAGGUGAGAGGCCGUGCGAUUUUGAGCGCGAUGCUCUAACCACUCGGCCACGGAAGCCCCUUUUCUUCAAUGAUAGUUGUGUGUUACAUGUAUUGGGUUUUAAGGAGAAGAACUCGUAAGUUGUACGAACUUGCUUCUGAUCCUUUUGUAUAUAUCAUACACGAUGAAAUACGUUCAAAUCAAAAGUCGACCAAAAAAUAAUAGGAAUUUUUCCGAAUUCAUUUCUACAUAUCUUUGGAAAAAUACGGAAUUUCGAGAUGAACUUUGGUAGUAAUAUAGAUUGAUUAUGUAUGAAUAUAUUAGAAUACAGAGUAGAAUUUAUAAUAAUAGGGGCUGUAAGUUUCGUUUCUCGUCACUUCCGGUGAAGCGUUUCCGGUGACAAACAAAUCCGAUUCAGUAUAUACGAGUAUAGAAUUGGGCCAACUACACGUCCGAAAAACCAAUGCUUAUGCGUAAAUCAGAGAACGCUGUGUACCACAACCAUUUGUUAUGUUCCUGUUUAACAAGUUGACGUAUAUUGUCAAUGCAGUGGUUCAAAUGUCGAUGGAGAACAACCAGAAUUCAGGAAGAGUAUUUUCUCCCUCAAGUCCAGCCAUCCUUACUAUCACCUGAUACAGGACUAGCUUUUGUGCAAUAUGCAUUAUUGUGUUUCGAUUGUUUGGACUACAGCCGACUGCAUGCAAAUUCUCCGGAUCAUGAAGGACUCUUAGUGGACAAAGAACAUUGCAAAGUGAUAGAAUUUUAUUGCUGCAGCUUGAUUAUUUGGAGAACAGCUGACUGCAGAAUUAUCUGGGAUCAUAAAGGACUCUGAAUGGACACAUACCAUUAACAGAAUUAUACUUUCAAUAUUUUCAUUCCUGGAUGGAUUUAAAAUCAACAUGUAUGAUAAAAUAUACUUAAUAAAACAAUAACAAUCA